rnacentral:rRNA from 1 species
UACGUAGGGUGCGAGCGUUGUCCGGAAUUAUUGGGCGUAAAGAGCUCGUAGGCGGUCUGUCGCGUCUGCUGUGAAAACCCGAGGCUCAACCUCGGGCCUGCAGUGGGUACGGGCAGACUAGAGUGCGGUAGGGGAGAAUGGAAUUCCUGGUGUAGCGGUGGAAUGCGCAGAUAUCAGGAGGAACACCGAUGGCGAAGGCAGAUCUCUGGGCCGUAACUGACGCUGAGGAGCGAAAGCGUGGGGAGCGAACAGG